UUGGGAUUAGAUUCCAGAAGUGUUUGUUCCUUGUUGGUUGCCGCAAUGAUGAAUGCUAAGACGCCUAGAUACAGCGAAGCAAAAAGACAUGUUGACAGGGGUCGUUUAAUAACUAGAGUCAACCUUGCAAUUGCUUGUCUUGGGUGGCAUCAGUUGAUGUUUGCCAAGGGGAUGAAAAGUGACGUGGAGUUGGCCUGUGUUCUGUUUGACCUAAAGGGCUGCUGGGUGACUCAUCAGGAACUGCUGUAAUUCAUGGAGGAGCCCCACGGACUGCAGUGUGGAGACCCCUGCACGUCUGCCCAAGUUGUUCUGCAGCCCCACUAUUGAUUGCAUUCUUACUGAGAAAAUGCACGUCUGUCUGCUCUCUUGCGCCCUGCUGACUGAUGAAUUCCCCUUAUUCUUGGCCUUUGCACAAAGGAACCUUGAAGCCAAUGUUUCCUCUUUUUUUGGGUAGAUUUCAACCCAUUGUUGUUUUGUGUGUAAAUUGCAAACUGUGCAGAAUUGAUUGAAUCCGUCUGUGUGGAGUGUACCAGGCGGAUACUGGAAGAUUUUGUUUAACAUUCUGUCUGUGUUUACCUUUGUUUCUCUCCAUGUGUUAGGAAGCCGGUUGUUUUUCAUGGGGGUAGCCACUAAAUGUAUGCUUAGUCAGGUGAUUGUUCCAAUCCAGUAUCCAUAGUCCCCAUAGACCCUUGUGAGCUUUUUGUAACCAAAAAUGCAUUUCACCAAUAUUAUGAUCAAUGUUCUCUAACCUUCUAGGCUAUGCAUUUUACUGGUUAUCACAACAAAUAAUAAGUGUAUUGUGUUGCAUUAUUGUCUGUCUGUACUCUACGUAUUAGCAUUUUGUAUUACUG